GCCUGGCUGGCUCAGUUGGUGGAGCAUAUGACUCUUGAUCUUGGGGUUGUGAGUUCAAGGCCCAUGUUGGGCA
rnacentral:tRNA from 1 species